rnacentral:rRNA from 1 species
AACGAACGCUGGCGGCAGGCCUAACACAUGCAAGUCGAACGCUGUAGCAAUACAGAGUGGCAGACGGGUGAGUAACGCGUGGGAACAUGCCCUUCGGUUCGGAAUAACUCAGGGAAACUUGAGCUAAUACCGGAUACGCCCUUAGGGGGAAAGAUUUAUUGCCGAAGGAUUGGCCCGCGUCCGAUUAGCUAGUUGGUGUGGUAAUGGCGCACCAAGGCGACGAUCGGUAGCUGGUCUGAGAGGAUGAUCAGCCACACUGGGACUGAGACACGGCCCAGACUCCUACGGGAGGCAGCAGUGGGGAAUAUUGGACAAUGGGCGCAAGCCUGAUCCAGCCAUGCCGCGUGAGUGAUGAAGGCCCUAGGGUUGUAAAGCUCUUUCGCCA